rnacentral:tRNA from 1 species
AUUCAAAUAGCUUAUAUAAUAGAGCACAGCACUGAAGAUGCUGGGGAGACACAUUAUGUCUUUGAAUA